GAUGGCAAGCACAAAUGCAAAAAUGCUUUUCGUUUUGCUUCAUUGAAAGAAGAUUAGCCAUUUACUUAACCUUUGAUUCCCGUAAUCAAAUGCUUUUGCAGCAUCAUUUCCUUUAAUUGUUUUAGUUCUUACAAUGUUCAUAUACACUGCAGAUGGAUAUAUACCCCAAAAAAAAUAAGUAUUCCUAUAAAAGACUAUGAAAGUAAAAGAAAACAAGAAAUACUCCUAUAGCAAAAAAUUUAGACAGAUCCUAUGCACAAACCCAAGGUAUAACCUCAUCAAAAUCAAUACCUCUCAACCCAGGUGAUUCCAACAGGCUUUCACCUGCAAUUGCAGACAACAGACAGAAAUAUGAUCAAAUUGAUUAUCUGCCCCAUGCACAGUGUCUCCAUGAGCACAGGCUUAUCUGCUUCUCACUUAAGCACAUGCCAUAGAUUGCUACUUUGUCAGGUGGUCAUUAUUCGAAUUGGUUUAAUUAGCUCAUCAGGAUCAACUAAUUUUAAGUCCAAAGGGUCACCCUCACUAAAGGAUGUUUGCUCAUCAGCUAAAUUGAUAUUUUCUCUGACUGCAUCAGCAACAUCAAGAAUCAUAUAAUCAGCAAUGCUUCCUUCAAAGCAAAUCUU
rnacentral:misc_RNA from 1 species